rnacentral:lncRNA from 13 species
AUGUCCUUGUCAGCCAACUUCCAGGAAAAACAAGAAAGCAGUGAGAGAGGAGGAGGAGAAGGAGGGGGAAAAGAUGAAGCAGACAAGAAAGAAGAAAAGGAGGCCGGCACAUGCUCACAAAGUUUAAAAUAUUUACUAUCUUUUCCUCACCAAAAUGGUUUUCUGAUUCUGAUCAGAUGAUCACCUUCACCCAACAAUCUAGAAAUAACCCAAACCCCUGCACUAAUAACACUGAACUUACAUAGCAAUUUUAUGUUCUGUGUUCACAGAAACAUGUGUAAUCUAUUCUCAAUCUCUACCUUCCCAAAUUAUUGUCUCUACUUUUGCUCUGUCUUGUAAAUCUAUGAAUUAUUAGUUCUAAAGCUCCCUACUAGGUCUUCACCAUUCACCAAUGAUGCCAGUGUGGUGUUGGAGAAUGUGACCAAUGCCGGGUGUUCUUGGACUCAGCGACUUCUGACCUUUCUUAGUCCAGUGUGCUCUAUUUGAAUAUCUGCUUUCAGUGACAUAAGCAGGAGUUAAAACCAGUUGCUCCUAAGAGUAUCAGCUACCAGCCCUACUCCUUCCAAACCCUUUGCCUAGAGGUACAUUGAGCCUCUGAGCCUGUAACUGGGAUAACUUCCUUUUUUUAUAACCCUAUUCAGACCAUAUAAAUAUACUUUCAGUAACAAGUUGAUGAGACAGCAGUGUCAUCUAACAGCUGGAAAAGUUAAUACCACAGGUCUAAUAUCUAGGUAUUAAUGAGAGAAUAUUUCAGUGUUUUGUUCUUUUACUGAAAACUGACUAUUUGAAUUCAAGGGAGCCUAAGCUAUUCCUCAUCCUUCUUAAAAUGAUACUCGUUUUUCCUUUCUUUUGCUAAAGCAUACCUUAAAGUAAUUUUAUUUCACCCUGGGGUUCCAUAUUCAAAUCAACUCAAGUCACCACUGACCAUGUAUUACCCCUUACAGUUGGUUAGCAGAGUUAAGUCCAUAUUGAACAGAACAUGGAGAUGUCUGGAACCCAAAUUUGACUCAUAUUAUCCAUGUUGAUUUGCCUUUAUAGCUGUUGGAGAGGUGUGAAACUUAAGUUAUCCAAAAUUCCAAGAUACUGGGGUAAUUGUCCCAAGUAAAGGUUUAAACAUUUUCACCUGGGCCUGUCACAGUGGCUCACGCAUGUAAUCUUAGCACUUUGGGAGGCCAAGGCGGGCAGAUCACCUGAGGUCAGGAGUUUGAGACCAGCCUGACUAACAUAGUGAAACCCUGUCUCUACUAGAAAUACAAAAUACUCAAUCUCCCGAGUAGCCUAUUAUCCCAGCUACUCGGGAGAUUGAGGCAGGAGAAUGGUUUCAACCUAGGAGGCAGAGGUUGCAGUAAGCCAAGAUCAUGCCAUUGUACUCCAGCCUGGACAACAGAGCAAGACUCCGUCUCAAAAAAAAAAAAAAAAAUACUCACCUGGAGAAGUAUGCAGGUUUGCAGCUGAUUCUGAUAACUGAGAUUUGUACAGUCUGCCAAUAAUUCACUUUGGAUAUCAAAAAUUCCAUGUUUUAAGACAUUUUAGGCAUCAACCCCACACCUAGCAUAGCAAGGAUAUCUUCUCUAAAACUUUUUAAGCUGUUUUUUUAACUAAGAAUUGAGCAUAAUGUUAAGAGUAAGAAGAUACCUGGUUGGAAAUGUAUAUUAAUCUCUACAUUUUAACAAAAUCUGUUAGAUAUAUAGUAUACCAUUUUACCAGUUUUCUCACAUUGAACUUCUGACCAGUGACAUAUUCAAUAAGUUGUUACAUAACAUGGAAAGCACUCUUAUACAGAUGGAGGGGUUCCAGAAGUGGAUGAGAUGUUACCCUGUUGUUAAUGGAUUUAUAGUAUGCUAGUAUGAUAGGCAAAAUAAAAAAUGUACACAUCUAUCUGCA